rnacentral:other from 1 species
GCACCUCUGGGGGACUCGUGAGAAGAUGGGUAUUAUCCUUGAGCCUAAUUUCUUACCCCGGGAGUGGUUGUAAUGAUUUGGUGUGCACGACCGCUCGACGGUAAGCCUGAAAAACAUUCGCCGCACCCACUUGAACCAUUGGUUCAAGGUCGAAGUCUUCCACGAUUUUCUGGAGCGUGCU